rnacentral:rRNA from 1 species
UACGUAGGGGGCUAGCGUUGUCCGGAAUCAUUGGGCGUAAAGAGCGCGUAGGCGGCCCGGUAAGUCCGCUGUAAAAGUCCAGGGCUCAACCCUGGAAAGCCGGUGGAUACUGUCGGGCUCGAGUCCGGAAGAGGCGAGUGGAAUUCCUGGUGUAGCGGUGGAAUGCGCAGAUAUCAGGAGGAACACCCGUGGCGAAAGCGGCUCUCUGGGACGGUACUGACGCUGAGACGCGAAAGCGUGGGGAGCAAACAGG